rnacentral:rRNA from 1 species
UGAGGAAUAUUGGUCAAUGGACGAGAGUCUGAACCAGCCAAGUAGCGUGCAGGAUGACGGCCCUAUGGGUUGUAAACUGCUUUUGUUUGGGAAUAAUCGACAGUACGUGUAAUGUUUUGCAUGUACCAUUCGAAUAAGGACCGGCUAAUUCCGUGCCAGCAGCCGCGGUAAUACGGAAGGUCCAGGCGUUAUCCGGAUUUAUUGGGUUUAAAGGGAGUGUAGGCGGUUGGUUAAGCGUGUUGUGAAAUGUAGAUGCUCAACAUCUGACUUGCAGCGCGAACUGGCUGACUUGAGUACACACAACGUAGGCGGAAUUCAUGGUGUAGCGGUGAAAUGCUUAGAUAUCAUGAAGAACUCCGAUUGCGAAGGCAGCUUACGGGAGUGUUACUGACGCUUAAGCUCGAAGGUGCGGGUAUCGAACAGG